GUCCUGGCAGUAAACGGUGCAUGUUUGGUGUGGGAGGAUUCGACCCCUUCCGUGCCGGAGCUAACGCGUUAAACAUGCCGCCUGGGGAGUACGGUCGCAAGAUUAAAACUCAAAGAAAUUGACGGGGGCCCGCACAAGCGGUGGAGUAUGUGGCUUAAUUCGAUGCAACGCGAAGAACCUUACCUAGCCUUGACAUGCAUCUCUAAGUCGGUGAAAGCCGGCGACUGUAGCAAUACAGAAUUUGCACAGGUGCUGCAUGGCUGUCGU
rnacentral:rRNA from 1 species